rnacentral:lncRNA from 1 species
GGCGCCCUGAAACCCGAUAUGUCAGGCAAGCUGGUGGGAUCCUGGGAUCCCUCAUGUAACGGCACUCAUUCUGACAGAAGCAGAGAUAAAACAGACUAAGUACACAGAGGAGUUUAAGGUUUCGUGAAUGUAAGUGCUGAGUACAGAAUGGUGCUCAAUAAAAGCUUGUUAAUUGAUGGACCACAGGUUUGUGACAAGACUUCUCAGAGUCUGAUUCUUUCAAGGUGGGAUAUAAGAGUAAGUAAAUGGCAUGGGGAAAAUCUGAUUGCCACAGACAGAAGAAUGAAACUGGAUGCCUAUUUCUCACAAUACACAAAAGCGAUUCAAGAUUAAAGACUUAACUAUACCUUGACUAUGAAUAAUAGUUUCAAUAAGGAAGACAGAAUGAGUUCUGACACGAUGGUUGGGAGCUGUGACAGGCAGACGAAAAAUGGAGCCAAAUGGCAUGGAGGUGUCAUGAUGUUGGAACAGUAACAAUAACUCAACCAACCAGGGCUUGUCUGAAUACAAUCCUACAGCAGCAGGAGCUGUGGAGAUAUAGAAGGCAAGGAAGACCAGGUUGUGAGGGAAGACGAAUUUACUCCCAGGAAUGUUGGGAUUGAGAGUAAUAUUCUCCAAUAAUGGUGGAAGACAGAACAAUAAAAGCCCACCAGCUCCUUCUGCAUGGUGGGAUAAGAGAAAAGCCAAGGGCAGAAGUGAGAAAAAUAACCAUCACCAAACUGAAAAGAAAACCUUUAUAAAAAAACUGGAUUGAUAAAUGACCUUUAGUAGUGGAAAGAUACCAUUCCAAUGAAGCAUGAAUUGAAAGGAUUUCUUCUGAAAGCUAAUUUACAUUUUUCUUUUUUUUUUUUUCAUUUUCAGUGUGUUUUAGCAGGUGUAUUGUUCUACAUGGUUAGUUUCUUUACCUCUUUGAGAAAAAUGGGUCAGCUUGACACAUCUGGAUGAAAGAAUCCGUUAGGUGAUUAUGAUUGAAGACAGAUUAAGCCUUGUUAUGAGGGGAAUAUUUGGGGGCUUACCCUGAGGUGAUAUUUGAUGAUUUAGCUGUGGGAGAAUUUCCCUCCCAAGAUCAGCGUGACUGACACUGAAAUUGCUACAGGGGAACCGGACCUUUCCAAGAGGUGACAAGGACAUUUACCUGGUACAACACAAUGGUUCUGGACUGGAAGUCUAGUCCCAUUGAUGAAGUUCCCAAAAGAUGUCCAGGUCCUAAUCCCUGGAAUCUGUGAAUAUGUCAUCUUACACAUCAAAAGAACUUUGAAAAUGUGAUUGAGGUUAAGGACCUUGGAAUGAGGAGAUUACCUUGGAUUAUCUGGUUGGGUCCAAGCUAAUCACAUGAGUCCUUAAAGGAGAAGAACCUUUUUUAGCUGGGUCAGAGAGAGAUGUGAUGAUGAAAACAGGCUCAGGGAGAUGCACUGUAAGAAGGGCUUGACCAGUUGUUUUUGACUUUGAAGAUGGAGGGAAGGGCCAGGAGCCAAGGAAGGUGGGUGGCUUUUGGAAGGUGGAAAAAGCAAGGGAACAUUCUCUCCAGAGCCUCCAGAAAGGAGCUCAGCCCUGUUGACAUCUUUGUUUUUAUUUUUUAUUUUUAGUAGCAUUGAGGUCUCACUAUGUUGCACAGGCUGGUCUUGAACUCUUGAGCUCAAGCACUCCUCCCGCCUUGGCUUCCCAAAGUGCUGGGAUUAUAGGCAUGUGCCACCACAUCUGGCUUCCUACUGACAUCUUAACUUUAGUGCAGUGAGACUCAUAUUUGAAUUUCUGACCUUAUAUUAUAGAACCAUAAGACAUUAUAGAAUUAUAUAGAAUUAUAGAACCAUAAGACAAUAACUUUGUGUUGUUUUAAGAUACUAAAUUUUUGGUAAUUUGUUAUGGCAGCACAAUAAAACCAAUAUAGCAUUAUAUUAUGCCAAUAUCAUCUCUUUGUUGACUAUUGCUAUUAUAGUUUGUUUUAUGGGUCUUGUGUAAACAAUCAAGCUAUAAUAUUGGGUUAACUCCCUAAGGAAAACUUGGAAUAUAGAACAUUAUUUUAAAGACUGAAUUAGGUAAAUACACCUGCCAGUGAAUACAUUAACAAAUUAAUUAAUAUAUUCACUCUUUUCACUCACAAAUACUUUUUGAGCCCCUAUUACUAGCCAAACAUUUUGUUAGAUUCUGAGAAGGGUCUGCUAGACAACAUUGUGACUAUAGUUAAUAACAAUAUAUUGUACUCUUGAAAAUUACUAAGAGAGUAGAUUUUAAGUGUUCUCACCACAAAAAAUAAGUAUGUGAGGUAAUGCAGAUGUUAGUUAGCUUGAUUUAGCCAUUCCCCAGUGUAUACAUAUUUCAAACCUUCAUAUUAUACAUGGAUAAAUAUAUACAAUUUUUAUUUGUCAAUUAAAAGCCCCUCGAUGAAUACAGUUUCCAUUCUGUCCUUGAGGUGGAGCUUGUAGACUUGGUGGGGUCCGGGGAUCAACUUUUAAACAGGCAGUUCCAAAGUGUGGAGUGGAUAGGCUUAUUCUCUUUGUUGCUUUUAUGAUAGGUAUUUAGAAUGCACUUUCCUCUGUUAAGUUAAGCCAGCCACCAUUCCCUCAUUCAGUUUCCAUCCUCCAUGAAUUUGCUCACAUCUGCGGUCUACUGUCACUCAUUCUUUCCUUCUCUUCCUGAGGGCUUGUGUGACUUAUGUUCUUGGCUUUCUCUUAGGAACAUGGUGCAGCUUGGCCCUGCAUUAUCCAUCUGGAAAAACAGAUCAUAAAACAGUCCUUCUCUGUACUAAGUGCUAAAGUAGGAGGAAGGGCAUAAGUCAGCUCCCUGAGCUAUAUAUCCUUGUUUUCAGGAGCUGAGCUAGACACAAGCAGAACUUGCAAAUAAUUUACAUUUCUUUCUGCUGAGGUGGUUCAGAAUAAGUUGCAACAAACAUGAACAGGAAUGGUGCAGUAAAU